GAGCGGAUGAAGGGAGCUUGCUCCCGGAUUCAGCGGCGGACGGGUGAGUAAUGCCUAGGAAUCUGCCUGGUAGUGGGGGACAACGUUUCGAAAGGAACGCUAAUACCGCAUACGUCCUACGGGAGAAAGCAGGAGACCUUCGGGCCUUGCGCUAUCAGAUGAGCCUAGGUCGGAUUAGCUAGUUGGUGAGGUAAUGGCUCACCAAGGCGACGAUCCGUAACUGGUCUGAGAGGAUGAUCAGUCACACUGGAACUGAGACACGGUCCAGACUCCUACGGGAGGCAGCAGUGGGGAAUAUUGGACAAUGGGCGAAAGCCUGAUCCAGCCAUGCCGCGUGUGUGAAGAAGGUCUUCGGAUUGUAAAGCACUUUAAGUUGGGAGGAAGGGUUGUAGAUUAAUACUCUGCAAUUUUGACGUUACCGACAGAAUAAGCACCGGCUAACUCUGUG
rnacentral:rRNA from 1 species